rnacentral:lncRNA from 1 species
AUGCCCAAACCUCCUCCUUUUUCUCUGCAGGCAAGAGCAAUAAGCCAUCGUAGGAAUUGUUGGCCACAUCAGGGACAGCACUUGCCUGAAGGCGUGGUUCCUGAAGCUUUUGCUCGGAUUGGUGACCAACUUUAUAGAGGUCAUAAAGCUUGGGUUGGAGGCAUCCAACAGGAACUGGCGCAGCAGCUAUGUCCCCCAGAGAAAGGAGUGGGUAGGCAGGUAGGAUCAGUGGGGCUCCCAGCCCUUUUGGGGGGAUUCAGAUGGGGGACUCAAAGCCUUUACUGGAAAGUAUGCUUUUUUCUUUCAUUUUUCUACAUAGAACUGGUGAAGAUCAUCUUGUUUCUGGUGAAAAGGGUGGCCCAGGUUUGGGGACUGGAAGACGGUCUUAGGAUAGGGCUGGGGAGGCAAGAGAGGAGAUGCAAUGCUUCCCUUCCUGGCUUCAUCCUUCAUGCUUCUCAUCUUCUCUUUCAGCUGUUGCACAUUGGCCAGCGCCCACACUCCCCGGAGAAGACCUGGGUGCUACUGACGCUUAGCUCCAACAACGCAACCUGGCCACCCAACAUCAGAGCAGGCAGGGCCUUCUCCUUCUCUGCAAGACCUAGAGGGAGGUGAAUUUAUAUGCACCAUUUUCAGUUUGCCCUACUGCAGCCGGGAGGCGACGCUUGAGCUGCUCCUGGCCAAGGUGAAGGAGGGCCCUUGGCUGACCCAGGAGGGCAAGGAACAGGGCUACCACCAGCACCCUGUCUUUAUGGGGCUGAGGAUGAAGAAGAGACCCCUCUUUCCUGGCCUUCAACAGGAGCUCUCCUUGCAUCAAACCCUCCACUGGAAAGUAAGCUUUUUUCUUUCAUUUUACUGCAGAGAGCUGGUGAAGAUCAUCUUGGUGCUGGUGAAGAAGGUGGCCCGGGUGUCCUUCAAUGAGACCUCUGAGAAGAUGCUAGAAAGCACAGCAUCUGCCCCCAGGCAAUGGCUCCCCAGUUGCAAUAAGGAGCCAAGAGCUAGAGAAGGUUCAGGGAGAAGGCAUGGCAUGAUCCCUCUGGUUGGGUUCCCUCAUGGUGUUAUCGAGCCAAAAUUUAGGGGUUCUCCUCUGAAUUAGGAAUACCCAAUACCUUCCAGUUGCAGGUUCGAAGAUCAUGGCAAGCAGGAGGCACUUCAGAUCAGUUGCCCCGUCCCCCCAAUAAUCUCACCCACAAGUCUUGAAGAGAGAUGACCGAGUUGAUAUUUAUUCGAGUCAGCUGACACGGAUGUCAAAACGCAAUCAUUCGCCGAGGUGACAUGUCAAAUAAUACAGUGCAGCAAUUUUUAUAAGCGGUGCGGCGUCUUUGCCAAUCAGAGGCGAAGAGGUGGGCUGAGCCGAGAACAAUGAAUUGCCAAGCUGAUUAUAGAUAGGCAAAUGACCUGAUAUGUCAAAAGGAAACGCUGAGGACCCUGCUGAGCCCUCAAGACAGCUUCCGAGGGUGCAAAUAUACAUAUGUGCCUGACAAGCACUGCAGAAGCAUUCGGCUGGAGUGGUGUCCUUCUACAUCCAGGUGGGGAGUGCUGGUCAGCCUGGUUUUGGGGCUGGAAGGGGGCCUUAGGACAGGGCUGGAGUGGAGAGGCAGUGCUUCCCUUCCUGGUUCCAGCCCUGAAUACUUCUUCUCUUUCAGCUGCUGCACACUGGCCAGCGCCCACACUCCCUAGGAAAGACCUGCCACUUCAUCACAUGUACUAAAUUCCACUGAGUGCUACACUUAAAAUCCAGGAAGCCAUUGUUCUCAUCACAUUCAUUUGGCUUCAAGUAUAGGAUAGAGCAUUUUUUGCGUAUUUUAAGUGUCGGGGCCAGCGUUCUUUUCAAGCAUUGGAGGAGGUGGUGGGGAACUGGAUUUUUGGUAAUGAUCUUGGAUGUUUGGCCAAUUCUCUAAUGUGAUGGCAUUAGUUGCUCCCAGGUUUUAAAUUUGUGGGAGGGGAAAUUGUCGGAGGAGCCAAAACUAUCCUUGUUAGGGAAAGCAUUUCCUUUUGCUCACCGAGUUUUUAUUUUGCCAGCACAAUUUCUUUUUAAAAAAUAUCCUUGCCAGGUCCUGUCCUUCUCUUCCCUUCCCUUCCCUUCCUUCCAUGAUAUGUCUGUGCCUUGUGUUGCAUGGGAAAGCUGAGAGAGAAGGAUUAUUAUUAUUAUUAUUAUUAUUAUUAUUAUUAUUAUUAUUAUUAUUAUUAUUAUUAUUAUUAUUUUAUGACACAGCAAACAAAAUAGAUAUGCUGGAUUUCGUAUCACAAAAUCACAAGUCGAACACUUCCCAAGUGUCUAGGACUGUGUGAUGUAUUUUCGGAUGAUGCGUGCAGAUGCCAGUAGGGUGGCCUUUUGCAGUUGGCAGAUCGUAAUUUUGUCAAUAUCUAUUGUUUCCAAAUGCCAGCUGAGAUCUUUUGGCACGGCACCCAAUGUGCCGAUCACCACCGGGACCACCUGCACUGGAUUCUGCCAGAGUCUUUGAAGUUCAGUCUUGAGGUCCUGAUAGUGGCUAAGUUUUUCCUGUUGUUUUUCGUCAAUGCAACUGUCACCUGGGAUGGCAACAUCAGUGAUCCAAACCUUUUUCUUUUCUACAACUGUGAUGUCUGGUGUGUUGAGUUCCAGAACUUUGUCAGUCUGGAUUCGGAAGUCCCACAGUAUCUUUGCGUGCUCAUUUUCCAAUACUUUUGCAGGUUUGUGAUCCCACCAGUUCUUUACUGCUGGCAGGUGGUACUUGAGGCAUAAGUUCCAAUGAAUCAUUUGGGCCACAUAGUUGUGCCUCUGUUUGUAGUCUGUCUGUGCGAUUUUCUUACAGCAGCUGAGGAUAUGAUCAAUGGUUUCGUCGGUUUCCUUGCACACUCUGCAUUUUGGGUCAUCAGCUGAUUUUUCAAUCUUGGCCUUAAUUGCAUUUUUCCUGAUGGCUUGCUCCUGGGCUGCAAGGAUCAGGCCUUCUGUCUCCUUCUUCAGGGUCCCAUUUGUGAGCCAUAGCCAGGUCUUCUCCUUAUCAGUUUUUCCUUCAAUUUGGUCAAGAAACUUUCCAUGCAAUGUUUUGGUGUGCCAGCUGUCAGCUCUAGUUUGUAUUAUUAUUAUUAUCAUUAUUAUUAUUAUUAUUAUCAUCAUCAUCAUCAUCAUCAUCGUCAUCAUCAUCAUCAUGCCAUGUCUCCACGCUGUGCAGUCCUGGGAAUUAUAGUUUUCCAAGGUCCAUACCGUUCUCUUGGUGCAUUUACAGUAUGGAAUCAAUGCACUUGGACCCCACUUUAAAUUCCAUAGCUCCAUACUAUGUGGUCCUGGGAGUGAUAGUUUCCCAAGAUCCCUUCUCUGGAUACAUCUGCACUGGGGAAUAAGUGCAGUCAGGACCCCAUUUUAAAGGCAAUUAUUAUUGUUGUUAUUUGCCCACCUCCCAUGCUGGGCGGUCCCGGGGA